rnacentral:sRNA from 1 species
AGCAGCCGCGGUAAUUCCAGCUCCAAUAGCGUAUAUUAAAGUUGUUGCAGUUAAAAAGCUCGUAGUUGAAUUUCGGGAUUGACACAUCGGUCGUGCCUUAAGGGGUAUGAACUGGUGUAGUCAAUUUCUCACCUUCUGGAGAACCGCGCUGUCCUUAAUUGGGUGACGCAGGGGAACCAGGACCUUUACUUUGAAAAAAUUAGAGUGUUUAAAGCAGGCAUUUUGCUUGAAUACAUUAGCAUGGGAUAAUAAAAUAGGACGGCAUGAUUCUAUUUUGUUGGUUUCUAGGAUCACCGUAAUGAUUAAUAGGGAUAGUUGGGGGCAUUAGUAUUCAAUUGUCAGAGGUGAAAUUCUUGGAUUUAUUGAAGACUAACUACUGCGAAAGCAUUUGCCAAGGAUGUUUUCAUUAAUCAAGAACGAAAGUUAGGGGAUCGAAGACGAUCAGAUACCGUCGUAGUCUUAACCAUAAGCUAUGCCGACUAGGAAUCAGACGAUGUUAAUUUUUUAAUGACUCGUUUGG